UUCAUGUGCAAAAGAGAUCAAUUUCUGUACCCAGUAAGAGAAUGAGAUUGUUGUACCGUAUUAUCAAAACUUUUAAGGCAUUCUUCACGAGCUCUGAUCUCAUGUUGCUUGUCUUUGACCACAUAAAAACUAGUAGAGGAGCAGAGCUGCAUAGGAGUUUUGAUGUUGUGUUUGCUUUAGAGGUAUGUUCUUGCAUGUUCACACAAUUAAUAAAAAAUAAAACAGACCUUCUGGGGAGCAGAUUUGUGUUCAUAUUGUUGGGUUUGAGUUGUUUUUGUGACUGAGAGGGGCAUUAAUCAGAGUAACUGUUGACAAUGUGCAUCUGGUCUGCUAUUAAAGUUGCUACCUUGACUUUGCUUCACCUUAUUUUAUUUUAUUUUUAAAAAGUAAGUUCUGGGUUUUGAUAGAAACGUAGAAAGAGUUGCCCUUUUUGUUUAAUCUUCAUAAGCCAUCUUGUACGAAACUGUUAUAGCUCUUAAAGCAAGUCAGUAUCUUCUUUUUCGUCUAAUGUAUUUGGGCUGAAGCAUUUUCGUUUCACUUUGCAGGCAACAACAACCAAUUAUCAAAAUUUUCUAGCUGUUUAGAGGAUAUAUUUCUAGAUAAUGUUUUUAGCUUUUUUUUCUUUUUUCUUUCCAUAUUGAAAUGGCUCCAAUGGCCUUGAUUUGUUCCAUAUUGAAAAGGCUCCAAUGGCCAUAUUGAGAAGGCUCCAA